GAUGAAGAACGCAGCGAAAUGCGAUAAGUAAUGUGAAUUGCAGAAUUCAGUGAAUCAUCGAAUCUUUGAACGCACCUUGCGCCCUUUGGCCAUUCCGAAGGGCAUGCCUGUUUGAGUAUCAUGAACACCUCAACUCUUUAUGGUUUUCCAUGAUGAGCUUGGACUCUGGGGGUUUUGCUGGCUCACAGUCGGCUCCUCUAAAAUGAAUCAGCUUACCAGUGUUUGGUGGGUAUCAUGGGUGUGAUAACUAUCUACGCUUGUGGUUUUUCCACCAGGUAACCUUCAGCAGUGGAGGUUCGCUGGAGCUCAUAGAUGUCUCUCCUCAGUGAGGACAGCCCUUUGAAUGUUUGAUCUCAAAUCAGGUAGGACUACCCGCUGAACUUAAGCAUAUCAAUAAGCGGAAGA
rnacentral:misc_RNA from 1 species